GGUGCACUGCCUGUCCUGUCCCCGCGCCGCCCCGCCAAACAUGUACCCCACUCGUGGGGGUCGCCGCAGAGUCCCCAGGCCGGGGCGCUGGGCCGGGCGGCGGGAGGCGCCGGGGAGGAGGGGCGCUUAGGGACCCGCGCCCCCGCGCCUCUAAUCCCCGUUCCGCGAGCGCGCCCGGCCCGCCGGUCCCAACUUUACCGCCGCCGGCCGAGCCCCGUCAGCCCGCGGCGCGCACCGCCGGCGCCCGCGCACACGCGCGCACAGACCCCACGCAGCCCGUGGCCGCCCCGUCCCGCCACCGCCCGCCGCGCGCCCACAACCCGGCCCGAGUGGCGGGGCCCGAGCGAAGGCGCCGGCCGGGGCCGCGGCGCGCGGAAGCCACUUUGCACGGUCAGCGCCGGGCACAAGUUUGUUCCGCGGCUCCCGGGGGCCUGGGCGCUGAGGGAGAAUCCCACUGAGGGGGCCGGGAGGAGGGGGAGAGGGAGGCGCCGAAGGGCACAAGAGUGGGGAAAAGUGAGGAAAGAAGCAACAGCCGCUCCACCCGGGACCAGAAAAGUGGCCGGCGCGUCCCGGCCGCCCGCCCUGCGCCGGGGAUGCGGCGGCGGCGGCGGCGGCGGCUAACGGUCCAGGGAGGCGGCAGGGGCGGCGGGAGCCGCUAGGCGGAGAGAGACCAGAAAUCCUCACCCAGAAGUCUCUGACCUUCUUGAGACUGGUGGAAAGAAAAACCCUGGGAUUCCACAAAAACUCAAGACCAAACCUACUGACUGGUGCCCUCUCUAAGAAGAAACACAACUGUAAUUUUCCCUGAGGUAGACAGCCUGGAAUUCCUCUGCACACUCAGUCAGGUGGACAGAGAGACCAAAUUACUGCAACUUGCUUCUUAAUGUAUGUGAAUUUCUUAGUUAAUGCAACAGAAUCUACUGAGCAGCUUCUACAUAAAAAGAACUCUGUCUGGAACUGGAAAGGUGCCUUGGGAUUGAGGACUGAGCUCUAGAUUUCUGAAACCAUGUUACCGAUGGGUAGGAUGUCCCGUGCCAGCACUUUCCAGCCAGGGAUUGCUGUAUGUCAACCUGCCAAGGCUCUCAUUCCUGCACGCUGCCAACCUGCCUGGGCAUCCUUCUGUAAGACUUCUGAUGAGCAUUUAGAAGACAUACACUUACCAACCCUUCCCAGGUGUGAAACCCCAUGGAAAGACUGGCAUAUUUGCUACUUAAUGCAAUCUCCUCUUUACAACUAAUCCUCCAAGACAGGUUUCACAGGACCCUCUGUGAGGCUCUGCCCAGGGAUUGCCCUCCUGUCUGUAGAGUCCUGUAUCUGGAGCUACCCAGAAGCCACUCCACCUCUUCCACAGGGGAGUCUCGCUCUAUUGCCUAGGCUGGAGUACAGUAGCGUGAUGUCAGCUCACUGCGACCUCCGCCCCAGGUUCAAGCGAUCCUCCUGUCUCAGCCUCUCUAGUAGCUGGGAUUACAGGCGUCUGCCACCAUGCCCGGGUGAUAUACCUGCUCCCCCUUCACCUUCUGCCAUAAUUGGAAGCUUCCUGAGGCCCUCACCAGAAGCAGAUGCUGGCACCAUGCUUCUUGUACAGUCUGCAGAACUGUGAGCCAAAUAAACCUCUCUUUUAAAAAAAUAAAUUACCCAAUCUCAAGUAUUCCUUUAUUGUGGUGAUCGCUCCUGCGAAGGGCCCUUGACAGGAUCCUCGCCAUCUUGAGCUUGAGCCCAUACACAUUUCUCCUCUCCUGGAGGCUGUUGAGCUAAGGGAAAGGAGGAAGUCUGGUUGCACUGAUUUUAUAAACAUCAAUCUUUGCCUCUGACAUUUGCAACAGAAUGGCUGAGCUCAGGCCUUGUGGUCUAAUGAGACAUUGUAUGGGUAGACAUUGUGUGCCUCCUAGUUCCUUCUCUGCACAACAACUUUAUGACUUCAUUUACCUCUGCUAACUCAAUCAUAGUGUUUGCAUAUGAUUCUAUAUGAAUAGGCAAGGUUAGAGUGACAUUUGGAAAGGUCCAGCUAUACCUUGUUAACAAUCUUACUUGCUUGCUUAACUGAUUUUAGAAAAACACGUUUAGAUUUAUGAUCCCCUUUUUGUAAGCUUUAUUGUCCCUUUGCUGUAUACGCUUUGAUUAAGAGUCAUACUUUCUAUACCCCUUUUCUUGUGAUUUUUUGUUCUUGACUUUAUUUCAAGAUACAAUGGAAUGUACAUCACUCCUCAAACACUGAAAGGUAUAUAACCUGUAGUUUGCACAAAUAAACUUGCUGUCUUGGCACUUCUUGCUCCCGCAUUGCCUGGCAGUCCUCCAGA